rnacentral:lncRNA from 1 species
GAAAGAGACCUCAAGUUUCCAAAUUCACUUGGAAUUGAGCCAGAAAGUGAAUUGUUAAAAAGAGACAAGGCAGCUAAGUUGCUCAAAUUGCCCAAAGAUGGAGGGAUUGAGCCACUGAGUUUAUUAUUGCUCAAUUCUAGAUCGGAAAGAGACCUCAAGUUUCCUAUUUCACUUGGAAUUGAGCCAGAAAGUGAAUUGUCAAAAAGAUACAAGGUAGCUAAGUUGCUGAAAUUGCUCAAAGAUGGAGGGAUUGAGCCACUGAGUUUAUUAUUGUUCAAUGCUAGAUCAGAAAGAGACCUUAAGUUUCCUAUUUCACAUGGAAUUGAGCCAGAAAGUGAAUUGUUAUAAAGAUACAAGGUAGCUAAGUUGCGUAAAUUGCUCAAAGAUGGAGGGAUUGAGCCACUGAGUUUAUUAUUGCUCAAUUCUAGAUCGGAAAGAGACCUCAAGUUUCCUAUUUCACUUGGAAUUAAGCUAGAAAGUGAAUUGUUAUAAAGAUACAAGGUAGCUAAGUUGCUCAAAUUGCAAAAAGAUGGAGGAAUUGAGCCACUGAGUUUAUUAUUGUUCAAUGCUAGAUCAGAAAGAGACCUCAAGUUUCCUAUUUCACUUGGAAUUGAGCCAGAAAGUGAAUUGUCAUAAAGAUACAAGGUAGCUAAGUUGCUCAAAUUGCCCAAAGAUGGAGGGAUUGAGCCACUAAGUUUAUUGUACCCUAAAUUAAGUGUGGAAAGAGACCUCAAGUUUCCAAAUUCACUUGGAAUUGAGCCAGAAAGUGAAUUGUUAAAAAGAGACAAGGCAGCUAAGUUGCUCAAAUUGCCCAAAGAUGGAGGGAUUGAGCCACUGAGUUUAUUAUUGCUCAAUUCUAGAUCGGAAAGAGACCUCAAGUUUCCUAUUUCACAUGGAAUUAAGCCAGAAAGUGAAUUGUCAUAAAGAUACAAGGUAGCUAAGUUGCUUAAAUUGCCCAAUGAUGGAGGGAUUGAGCCACUGAGUUUAUUAUUGUUCAAUGCUAGAUCAGAAAGAGACCUUAAGUUUCCUAUUUCACCUGGAAUUGAGCCAGAAAGUGAAUUGUCAUAAAGAUACAAGGUAGUUAAGUUGCUUAAAUUGCUCAAAGAUGGAGGGAUUGAGCCACUGAGUUUAUUAUUGCUCAAUUCUAGAUCGGAAAGAGACCUCAAGUUUCCUAUUUCACCUGGAAUUGAGCCAAAAAGUGAAUUGUCAUAAAGAUACAAGGUAGCUAAGUUGCUCAAAUUGCCCAAAGAUGGAGGGAUUGAGCCACUGAGUUUAUUGUACCCUAAACUAAGUGUAGAAAGAGACCU